GACGUAGGGGGCGAGCGUUGUUCGGAUUUACUGGGCGUAAAGCGCGCGUAGGCGGCCAGAUAAGUUGGGUGUGAAAGCCCUCGGCUCAACCGAGGUUCCGCAUCCGAUACUGUUUGGCUUGAGUCUAGGAGAGGAGAGCGGAAUUCCCAGUGUAGCGGUGAAAUGCGUAGAUAUUGGGAGGAACAUCCGUGGCGAAGGCGGCUCUCUGGACUAGUACUGACGCUGAGGCGCGAAAGCUAGAAGAGCGAACAAA
rnacentral:rRNA from 1 species